rnacentral:rRNA from 1 species
GUGGGGAAUUUUGGACAAUGGGGGCAACCCUGAUCCAGCAAUGCCGCGUGCAGGAAGAAGGCCUUCGGGUUGUAAACUGCUUUUGUACGGAACGAAACGGUCCUGGCUAAUAUCCGGGGCUAAUGACGGUACCGUAAGAAUAAGCACCGGCUAACUACGUGCCAGCAGCCGCGGUAAUACGUAGGGUGCGAGCGUUAAUCGGAAUUACUGGGCGUAAAGCGUGCGCAGGCGGUGCUGUAAGACAGGCGUGAAAUCCCCGGGCUCAACCUGGGAAUUGCGCUUGGGACUGCAGUGCUGGAGUGCGGCAGAGGGGGAUGGAAUUCCGCGUGUAGCAGUGAAAUGCGUAGAUAUGCGGAGGAACACCGAUGGCGAAGGCAAUCCCCUGGGCCUGCACUGACGCUCAUGCACGAAAGCGUGGGGAGCAAACAGGAUUAGAAACCCUUGUAGUCC